rnacentral:rRNA from 1 species
GCGAGGAACCUUACCUGGGCUUGACAUGCACGGGUAAAUCCCGUGGAAACCAUAGGUCCCUCUUGCGGAUCCGUCACCAGGUAACUGCAUGGCGGUCGUCAGCUCGUGUCGUGAGAUGUUGGGUNAAGUCCCGCAACGAGCGCAACCCUUGUCCUUAGUUGCCAGCGGAUAAUGCCGGGGACUAUAGGGAGACUGCCGGUGUCAAACCGGAGGAAGGUGGGGAUGACGUCAAGUCAUCAUGGCCCUUACGUCCAGGGCUACACACGUGCUACAAUGGCCGGUACAAAGCGUCGCCAGCUCGCGAGAGUGCGCUAAUCGCAAAAAGCCGGUCUAAGUUCGGAUUGCAGUCUGCAACUCGACUGCAUGAAGCCGGAAUCGCUAGUAAUCGUAGAUCAGCUACGCUACGGUGAAUACGUUCCCGGGCCUUGUACACACCGCCCGUCACGCCAUGGAAGCCGGGAGUGCCCGAAGUCCGUGACCCAACCCUUUGGGCAGGGAGC